GAUGCACAUGUUAUGUUUGUCGUA
rnacentral:siRNA from 1 species